CAAUGUAAGAAGCAGAAAAGAAGAGCGGAGUGCAGCAGCUGAGUGGAAGCACAUGGCACUUCCUUAGCCCUGUUUAUGAGGCACAGGCAUCUUCCAGACGAUAUGAUAUCCUACAUGAAUAGUGAAUACCGACUGAAAAAGCCGUCAUCCCAGGGAGGAUACAUCGCUUCAGAGGUUCCCCAUUGUGAGAAACCAUCAUAUAGGAAAGGUGCAUAUGAAAUGUCAAGUUUGACCACACUUUCCUGUGUGAAAUGGCACCUGAAAUCACGAGGGCCGUACAAGCAAAACCCUACACUCUGAUUUUAAAUCUGAGGUCCGAACUGGGGGAAGCUCCGAAUUGUGAUUCGGUUCAACUCGAAUCCCCUAA